CCUACGGGUGGCUGCAGUGGGGAAUAUUGCACAAUGGGCGCAAGCCUGAUGCAGCCAUGCCGCGUGUGUGAAGAAGGCCUUCGGGUUGUAAAGCACUUUCAGCGGGGAGGAAGGCGUUAAGGUUAAUAACCUUGUCGAUUGACGUUACCCGCAGAAGAAGCACCGGCUAACUCCGUGCCAGCAGCCGCGGUAAUACGGAGGGUGCAAGCGUUAAUCGGAAUUACUGGGCGUAAAGCGCACGCAGGCGGUCUGUCAAGUCGGAUGUGAAAUCCCCGGGCUCAACCUGGGAACUGCAUUCGAAACUGGCAGGCUAGAGUCUUGUAGAGGGGGGUAGAAUUCCAGGUGUAGCGGUGAAAUGCGUAGAGAUCUGGAGGAAUACCGGUGGCGAAGGCGGCCCCCUGGACAAAGACUGACGCUCAGGUGCGAAAGCGUGGGGAGCAAACCGGAUUAGAUACCCCGGUAGUC
rnacentral:rRNA from 1 species